rnacentral:rRNA from 1 species
GAUGAACGCUGGCGGCGUGCCUAAUACAUGCAAGUCGAGCGAACAGACGAGGAGCUUGCUCCUCUGACGUUAGCGGCGGACGGGUGAGUAACACGUGGAUAACCUACCUAUAAGACUGGGAUAACUUCGGGAAACCGGAGCUAAUACCGGAUAAUAUAUUGAACCGCAUGGUUCAAUAGUGAAAGACGGUUUUGCUGUCACUUAUAGAUGGAUCCGCGCCGCAUUAGCUAGUUGGUAAGGUAACGGCUUACCAAGGCAACGAUGCGUAGCCGACCUGAGAGGGGGAUCGGCCACACUGGAACUGAGACACGGUCCAGACUCCUACGGGAGGCAGCAGUAGGGAAUCUUCCGCAAUAGGCGAAAGCUUGACGGAGCAACGCCGCGUGAGUGAUGAAGGUCUUCGGAUCGUAAAACUCUGUUAUUAGGGAAGAACAAAUGUGUAAGUAACUAUGCACGUCUUGACGGUACCUAAUCAGAAAGCCACGGCUAACUACGUG